rnacentral:misc_RNA from 1 species
UAUCUUACAUCACCUGCAAAACUGAUGAGUUGGGGGCGUGAGCUUAUGGGGAAAAGUACAGUGAGUUGGCAUUUACAAUACACAUCAUGUAAUAGAAGGAACUAGAGAACAAAAAGCUAAAUACAUAAGUUCAACAACAAAAUUUUUAGAACAAGCUGAAUAAAGUAAAUAAUAAAUUUCAACAUACAUACUAGCAAAUUCUAAGAUCUCCAUAUCAAUCUCAAAUUAAAUUCUUCCUAGUCUCUAAUUAUUCCUCACAUAUGUAAAAAUAUUAAUAAUUGGCUCUUGACAUCCAAAAAUAUGCCAAGGCAUCAAAAUAGAUAUCAAAAUUAUAUUCAUACUGUAUUAACCUCGCAGUGGCUGCUUCACCUGUCUAUGAGUAGCCCUUUCCUAUUGCAAUAAUUAAACUAUUGGCAAACCUAUAGUAGGAGCAAAUAUGCUAAAUACAAUUCAAUAUCUCAUAGUGAUACUAACUCAUAUCAUAGUUGUCAAGACCAUAGACCAUCAAACUUACCAUCUCCAAUAACAUAAUUAUGCUGAAUAAAAAUUCACUGUUAACCAAACUAGCUAAAUAAUUAAUCAAUCAUCAAAUUAAUCUACAAUCUCAUAAUAUUUCCCACAAUUCCAAAAUAUUAAACCAUAUAUGUUAAAUUUUGAUGUUAUCUCUCCAUAAUAUGAUACUAAUCUCAUCGCCUUUUGCUAUUUUUCUCCUUUUCUCGUAACCUCUGACUUUCUCUCUUUAGACUUGCUGAUAUGCAUAAAAUAAAUUAGAGUAAAAAAUGAAUAAUUAUAUUUUAAAACUAGGGUGACUCAUAAUGAGGAAUCAAAAUAUCAGAAUUCAAAGAUCAAGAAUUAAUUGAGAAAUAAAUUCAUACUAUAUAUUGUAAAUACCACUCGCCUGUAUCAUAAGAUAUCAACUUACAUAUGCUACUUUUCCAUCCAUAUGAAUCAUAAUCCAAAAGCUCCUCCUUCAUAAUUUGAAGGGAAGAACAGAAGAGUUCGGUGGGCAUCCAUGUUGCCGAAAAUGCAUAAACAACAACAGGGGAUCUUCCUUCCUUGCUUAAUUUCGGUGUUCCAUGUUGGAAAUUCCAACAGCCAUACUGAUCCUAGAGAAAUGGAAAGGAAGGACAAAAGAUUUGUUGGGAUGAUGAAAGCGGGAAAUGGUCGAGAGAGGAAGGGAAAGAAAACAGGUUAGCUAAACCCUGUGUCUCUCACUCUCUCUCCCUCUCUUUC